UACGUAGGCAGCGAGCGUUGUUCGGAAUUACUGGGCGUAAAGAGUGUGUAGGCGGUGCUCCCAGUCUGUUGUGAAAUCUCCCGGCUUAACUGGGAGGGUGGCAGCGGAAACUAGAGUGCUAGAGGGUGGGAGAGGUAAGCGGAAUUCCUGGUGUAGCGGUGAAAUGCGUAGAUAUCAGGAGGAACACCUGUGGUGUAGACAGCUACUGGACCACUUCUGACGCUGAGACACGAAAGCGUGGGUAGCAAACAGG
rnacentral:rRNA from 1 species